rnacentral:rRNA from 1 species
UACGGAGGGGGCUAGCGUUGUUCGGAAUUACUGGGCGUAAAGCGCACGUAGGCGGCUUGGUAAGUUAGAGGUGAAAGCCCGGGGCUCAACUCCGGAACUGCCUUUAAGACUGCAUCGCUAGAAUCCAGGAGAGGUGAGUGGAAUUCCGAGUGUAGAGGUGAAAUUCGUAGAUAUUCGGAAGAACACCAGUGGCGAAGGCGGCUCACUGGACUGGUAUUGACGCUGAGGUGCGAAAGCGUGGGGAGCAAACAGG